AGAGUUUGAUCAUGGCUCAGGAUGAACGCUGGCGGCGUGCUUAACACAUGCAAGUCGAACGAAGCACCUUGAUUUGAUUUUUCGGAUGAAGAUCCUGGUGACUGAGUGGCGGACGGGUGAGUAACGCGUGGGUAACCUGCCUCAUACAGGGGGAUAACAGUUAGAAAUGACUGCUAAUACCGCAUAAGACCACAGCACCGCAUGGUGCAGGGGUAAAAACUCCGGUGGUAUGAGAUGGACCCGCGUCUGAUUAGGUAGUUGGUGGGGUAACGGCCUACCAAGCCGACGAUCAGUAGCCGACCUGAGAGGGUGACCGGCCACAUUGGGACUGAGACACGGCCCAAACUCCUACGGGAGGCAGCAGUGGGGAAUAUUGCACAAUGGGGGAAACCCUGAUGCAGCGACGCCGCGUGAGCGAUGAGGUAUUUCGGUAUGUAAAGCUCUAUCAGCAGGGAAGAAGAAAUGACGGUACCUGACUAAGAAGCACCGGCUAAAUACGUGCCAGCAGCCGCGGUAAUACGUAUGGUGCAAGCGUUAUCCGGAUUUACUGGGUGUAAAGGGAGCGUAGACGGAGUGGCAAGUCUGAUGUGAAAACCCGGGGCUCAACCCCGGGACUGCAUUGGAAACUGUCAAUCUAGAGUACCGGAGAGGUAAGCGGAAUUCCUAGUGUAGCGGUGAAAUGCGUAGAUAUUAGGAGGAACACCAGUGGCGAAGGCGGCUUACUGGACGGUAACUGACGUUGAGGCUCGAAAGCGUGGGGAGCAAACAGGAUUAGAUACCUUGGUAGUCCACGCCGUAAACGAUGACUACUAGGUGUCGGGCAGCAAAGCUGUUCGGUGCCGCAGCAAACGCAAUAAGUAGUCCACCUGGGGAGUACGUUCGCAAGAAUGAAACUCAAAGGAAUUGACGGGGACCCGCACAAGCGGUGGAGCAUGUGGUUUAAUUCGAAGCAACGCGAAGAACCUUACCUGCUCUUGACAUCUCCCUGACCGGCAAGUAAUGUUGCCUUUCCUUCGGGACAGGGAUGACAGGUGGUGCAUGGUUGUCGUCAGCUCGUGUCGUGAGAUGUUGGGUUAAGUCCCGCAACGAGCGCAACCCCUAUCUUUAGUAGCCAGCGGUUUGGCCGGGCACUCUAGAGAGACUGCCAGGGAUAACCUGGAGGAAGGUGGGGAUGACGUCAAAUCAUCAUGCCCCUUAUGAGCAGGGCUACACACGUGCUACAAUGGCGUAAACAAAGGGAGGCAGAACCGCGAGGUCGAGCAAAUCCCAAAAAUAACGUCUCAGUUCGGAUUGUAGUCUGCAACUCGACUACAUGAAGCUGGAAUCGCUAGUAAUCGCGAAUCAGAAUGUCGCGGUGAAUACGUUCCCGGGUCUUGUACACACCGCCCGUCACACCAUGGGAGUCAGUAACGCCCGAAGUCAGUGACCCAACCGUAAGGAGGGAGCUGCCGAAGGUGGGACCGAUAACUGGGGUGAAGUCGUAACAAGGUA
rnacentral:rRNA from 1 species